rnacentral:rRNA from 1 species
AUGCACUCAAUUUUUCUAAGAAUUGUAUGUGCAAGCACAACCCCCAUGUUUCGCUACGAAGAAAGUGCUAGAUGCCCUGUCCACCAAAACAACGAACCCAAAACACCUGACUGCACGCCACGACAACAUCGAAAUGUUGCCACCCAAUGUCAGGGAGGCGUUGCAAUGGGAGAAAGAAUACCCUUGAACCCAUUUACCUCAGUUGCUUCUUACUUUUUGCUGCACCUCUUCGAACGCAAAUCAGCAACGACCUGCAGUCAUGGUAUUUCAUUCAGGUCUGUAGCAUUUAGAUCAUUGUCGUGUCUUGGUAACCAUCAUGAUGUACAGCCCCGGAGAUGUCAGCCAACAACACCAGCGUCCAUUGGAAACCUGCUAUUCCUGAUCCUUCUUCCUUGGACUUCAGUUUGGAAUAUUGAGGGUCUAACCAAUCAGAAGCAUUUUAACUCAUCUCAUCAAUCAGCUUAUGUUCUAGCUCAGAGCGCCCAACCUUUUCAUGUCACUGAUCAGUGGACAUACGGUAGGUAUAUA